GGGAAAGAGGUAAAAGAUUUUUUAAAAAGUCAGAUCCGUCCGAGUGAGUAAAAGAACAAAUACAGGAUGAAGAUGGAAAAUAACCAUAGAGGUCCUGGAACUCUAUGGCAACCGUAAUUUGCUAAUUCACUCCGCAAAGAAUUACAAUGGCUGCAGUUUAAAGGACGUGUUCACUGGAACAGGAUGAGAGAUACAUACAAUAUUGCAGUCCUGGAACAGAGUGUGCCUUGAAAGAUAGGAUAGUGCCGGCAAGGAGUCCUCGACCAAGGGAGCUGCCUGACAACAGCAUUUUAAUUGGCAGCUUUUAACAAUCAUGCAGGACUGUCCCCAAUCUGCAGUAGAACAGCUUGAAGAAACCACCAGAUAAAUCCUACAAUUCCAAAGCCCUAAAGGAAAAAUCCUAGUCCAGGUCGGAGCAGUUUAACCUGUUCACUGACUCUCCCUCAGAGGCAACUGAUAUGAGGAACCUUCCCUGAGUGCCCAAAGUCUCGACACGUGAAUCCGUAGCUCUGGAACUUUUUACGGUGGCUAUGUCCUGGCCCUACCUCCUCAGCCUAACUCUCCAUUCACAGCUCCAUCUCUCCCACCAUGCUUGCUGACAUUCCAGUCCUAGUGUCACCUACUCCAUCACCCCCAUCACCACCUCCCCCCCCCACCCCCCCACAUGCUUGCUGAUCUUUCCCCCUUUCCUGCUCUCUGCUGCCGCGAAUGCUGUUUCCAUUUGUUUUGAUGCUGCACUAUAAGGAAUCCAAGCGUGACAAAUAAGUCAACGGCAAGACAGUCAAAUUAUAGCAAACUUGGCAGAACCAAAAAGGGCAGAGCAUUUUUACUGGAUGGCAGAUUUUUCUAAAACAACAAAGAAUCAGAGAUGGCAUGCAAUUGCCCCUUGCUGUCAACUCCACGGUAUGCAUGACAUACAUCAAAUAAUGCAAGCUAAUGCCUGAUUACUUUGGGGGGAAGCGAUGGAGCACAGAUGGCCACAUCCGCUUCAAUUCUCACCAAUUCACCAUGCUAUGUUUAUUUGAAAGAGGAUGGAGAUUUGACGAUUGACUUCUUAAGGACCCAAGAGACUUGUUUACUCCCUCAAUAGUCAUAAGCUCUGCAAAUUUAUGAGACACAUAUCCAUACCAAAGUCCUUAAAAAUCAGCAUUAAAAAUCAGAGGUUCUAACGUUGUAGAGAUCAGAGAUGUCUUGCAACAGUUCAGUAAGGCAGCUACCAUCACUUUCUCAGGGCAGUAAUUUCCAGCGAGGCCCACAUCUGAACAAUAAAUAAAAGAACGGACAAGACAUUCAAAGUCAUAGUUGUAUGUUGAACAGUACGCAAUUUGUCCAUACAUUGGGGAGUUACAGCAAGAGGAUGAGAAGACUCUACCACAACUGUUGACAAAGAAGGAAUGAAGAUGCUACCUGUCUGUCAUUCUAGCACUUGGCAUUGUAUCACUCAACCAUUGAUUUGGAGGAGGUUAACAGUGCAGGCUACACUGGCUACAUUAGUUACCUUGUUAUCUAGGUAACCCCUCGCAUUAACAGAUUUCCAGCAUCCACAGUAUUUUGCUUUUAUGCUUAAAAGUAUUCCUAUUUAGAAGAUGGCAACGCACAAUAAUAUGAUGAAAAAAUGGAGUCAAAAUUUCACAGAUGAAGAAUUGAACAAGGUGAAGGAAAGGCGCGUGUACGUCCUAAGGCGCAGAAAAUCUAAACCUCCAAGAAAACAGAGCAUGGCUUGGAAACAGGUUGCAGCAGUUCUGAAUGUGAAUAGCAUUGUGCCUAGUACGGUGGAUCAGUACCCUAAGAAACCGAAUGAUUAAUGCAUUCAGCCAGGACAAAGCUGGUCCAUAAUGCCCGGGGCACACAGUGACUGAAGGGAGGCUGGCAUACAUUAAGGACCUUACCGAACAGGAGGAGUAUUUAUGGAGGCUGAAUAGUCUCUCCAAUCCCAUGGUAAAAAGCAAUGUAUCAGAUAUGGGGAUGAGUGAAGAUGCCACAGGCACAUCAAAUGCCCAUUUGGUGAGUUUGCUGCUGCAGCAGAGAUACUUGAAAGGAGUCAGGAUGCAAAGGAAACAUGUACGUCGCAGCAGUGCAGCACUGUAGCUACAGCAGAGGGAGAGGCCUUUCAGGAGGGUGAGAUCUCAAACUUUGAAGUUCUCUUUUCUUAUUUUGGAAUGGAGGGAAGAAUGAAGGAAGGGAGGGAUGGAUACUUGGUGAAUUUUCAAAGCUCAAUGUCCAAAAGCAGUAGCAACCAGGCAAUCUCGAGUUGCCCUGGUGGCAGCUGGAGCCUAGGCCUCCUGCGAGAGGCUCUGCAUUGCCCCCCUCCAGCUCCUCCAUUUCUGGCACCAAGUCAUCUUCAGGGUGAAGGUUCAGUCCUUGCUGGAGGGUACUACAACAAUCUUUGAGACUAUCACAGGUACGUACUUUAACAUGCCCCCUUACCUGUCCUGGCAUUGAAAACGUGACUUUAACAGUCCAAUUGUCCUCUCUACCACCUUAUGCGUUGCCACAUCUGCAUAGUUAUAUUGCUCCAGUGCUUCACUAGUGGUCCUCCAAAAUGGUGUCAUAAGCCACAUUCUCAGUGGGUAUCCUUUAUCACCCAGUAGCCACCAUGUAAUUCCUGAUCAUGGAGUCAUGGUCUGGUGCAACAUUGACUUUGUCAGGACGAAUGAGUCAUGGGCACUUCCCCAAUUAUUUGCAUUCACAUUGAGGAUCCUCAUUUGGGCACCACACACUAUCAUCACAUUUAAAGAAUGGAAACCCUGUUGAUGAACAAGACAGCCUCAUCUAUUGGCGCCUUCAAUGAAAUAUGUGUUCCAUCGACAGCCCCAAUAACUUUCAGGAAACCAACAAUCUUGUGCGAUGCGAGGGACCUCUCCUUCAUCCUCACAAGGGAUAUGUCAAAAAUAAUGAACUCUGAAGUCCUACGAAAAGUUUCCUCAGUUACCUGGUGAAUGCAGACCCUUGCAGCAUUCUGUGAAACGUUGCUCAUGUCACUAAUACCAUGUUGAAAAGACCAAGCCACAAAUAAAUUAAGUGCUGUUGUGAGUUUCAUCUCCACUGUUAAGGCAGAGCGGCAUUCCGAGUUUGACUUCAGCUCUUCAACAUUUCACAAAGGCAUCCCAUCGCUUCCUUACUGAAGCAUAGUCUCCUGACACACAACUCCUCUGACAUCAUUUCAUAUGACGUCCUUUACUUGUAGUAUCUGGGGAGGGUAAUUAGUGGUCAUGUUGCCUGACUCUCCUCUCAUGGUCCUUGCACCUACGUCGAGCCCCCAACAUAAGUAGAGUGGUUCCAAUAAGCAGAGCAGAAAUUGUGAUGUGCCAGGGGUUGAACAUGACUCCAGAUCAAGUUUGCAAUCUGCUCUGGAUUCUGGAAUACCUGUCGGAGAGAGUUCACACCAUCUUACAGGAGGCUUGCAUAUGCCCUUUUAGCAUUACACUUUUCUAAAGCGUUUUAAAUAGCCAAAUUACAUACUUGUUGAAGUAAAUGCAAAACUCCUUUUCACAUAUAUUAAAUUUAUGAUUUAAGAGACUUCUAAGGAUCAACUUUGAAUUAAAAGGACUCUUAAAAGUGGAGUACACCACACUGCAUUAAAAUGCAUCAGAGACACAUAUUUUACAAAAUAACUUUAGCUGAAGCUUAUUAUAGACACUUCCUUGAGUCUAACCCACCUUGUUAUGUAUGAAAGCACUUUUUAAUGGAAUAAAACAACAGAAUUGAAUGACAAAGUAAAAAGAUUAAAAGUUCUAUCUUUCUUACACAUUCUGCACAUAUAUUUACGACAUUUUUUAAACAUAAAUUUAAAAAAAAUUACCUACCUAAAGAAUCUCUCCAAAAUGUCUGCUGCCUCUCUUCACCACAGUUAGACCAAGAAUAAAAGUGUAAAAUAAAAUCCAUGUAAAUACUUUCCUAUCAUUGGGGCAUCUAGGCGAAGUUAGCGCUGUCACAUCCAUUUAAAUCGAAGCCCUUCAACGUAGCGUACUCAGCUGGCAGUUGUUAAUCCUGAGUUGGAGGUUUGAAUGCGGCGCCCUCUUAGCGCCCAUGUGCGUGCGUCGGGUCCCCGACAGGGUCCUGACAUGCAACUUCCAGGCUACACUAUCGGAGCACCGGUAAGUAAUGAGCAAGUUAAGGCCCAAUGAUUUUACAAGCAGGGAAUACCAUGCAUGAGUUGCAGGAGGUAAAGCAAUCAUUGAAACAGUGUCAGAAGGAAAACAUGUGUCUCAGACAGGAAUUGGAGGAUGCAUGUGGGCAAUCCAGGAAUUGAUUAAACAGCUUCACAAGGAGACUGAUCAUAGCUCAUGUAAGGUAGAGAUUGAGCUGUUGAGAAAUAAACUAGGAAGAUAGCAGACAAUUUCAGCAAUGACUACCAAGUCCUAGGUUUCAGCUGGUAAGACAAAAGAUUUGGAAUAUAGUGGAGGUAGUAUGGCGAUAGAGAACUCUUUUCCUUCAAUAGUUUCAGCUCCAGUAGCGGUAGUACAGGCACAGUGUGAGAUGAAUCAUCAUGGAGCAAUAGUGGGGUACAGGAUGACUUUGAACAGUUUGACACUUAAUUCAUUACUGGCUUAUGUUCAGGAGCUAGGGACUUUUAAGUCAGGGACUUGUCCCAUAGCAUUGUAUAUGCAGUAUCAGGUUUUCAGGCUGAGUUAGAGGAAUAGGAUUGUAAAAGAAUAAUUCUUGCAGCUUGCGAUUCAGGAAUUGAGAUGGGAUUUCAUCCUGACAUAUAUCAAAGAACAGCAAAUGAGGUAAUAGAUGCAGUUCUUAAAUGGUUAAAUGGUGAGAAAAUGGAUAUUAAUGUAAAGAUGAAGUCUUGUAAGCAGGGACCGGAGGAGAAUCCAGGAGCGUUUGUCUGAUGGUUAUAUGGGUUCUCAGAGGGACACCCUCCACCCACACUGGCAGCAGGGUUUGACAGGGUCCUUUCAAGAGCGCUCUUCUUAAGUGGACUAGGCCAGAGCCACAGUUGGCCUUAAGCUACACCAUUAGUCGUGCAACUCCAUGGGUUACAAUUGAGGACCAUGUGAAGAGAGCUUAGGAUAUGAUAAAAGACAGUAUCCAGCUUAAGGGAGAAAUAGUUAAAAAGUCUAUUGUGGAAGGAUUGAGAGAAGUUCCAGUAUUUUUGAUUAAUCUCAGAUGUUGUGUUAUAGCUGCAUGAGAGCAGGACACAUAGAAAAGGAGUGUAAAGGGAUUAUGCAGGCAAGAAUGAGAGAUCACCCAAGGCGAGAUCACAUCUGUACGCUUCACAGUCAGUGUCUAGUGCUGAAGGCAAAAGCACAGAAGUGACAGUGAAUCAAUUGGCUAAUGAAAUUGUUGAUUUAAGUCGUGUUGAGAAAGCAUAUCUUCAAGAACUAUAUUUUGUUUUAAAAUUUGUAAGGACAUAAUAUUAUUUGGACUUGGAUUUUUUUUUAAAAGACAUAAGUUCACCUUGGGCUGUGAGCAAGAUUGUCUUUUCCAAUAAAUCACAUGACUUCAACUAAAUGAUGAGCACGGCACUUGAGGAGGACAGCUACUUGCUUAUUUGAAAUGUAAUUACUUUAAUGGCUGGAAAAAAAACUGUUUUAAAGGCAAAGGCCUGGUGAUUUACUGGAAAUCACCUGACAAAGAUAAGUUUUAUGUUUUGAACUUGUUUUCUUGAACUCAGUUGGGAAUAAACCAACAAGGAGAAAGCUGCCCAACUUGCGCUUUCCUUGCCUUGCCUGAAAUACAGUGUGGCUAUCAGUUUUCAACUAGGAAUCCUCACCUCAGUGGAACUUGUCUGUAUUUGGAAACCCAAGAAGCUGAGACGAGAGGUGGAUCCCAAAGAUUGAUCUGGCUCUAUUCUCCUCCAUGCCGAAGCUCCGUGGUGAGAACCUUCAGAUUACGAGGGAGCAGCAGAUCGACAGCAUCAAAACCCUGUGAACUUUAUCCUUUUCAUAAAGUCUUCUUUAAUCACCAAACUCUGCAGAGACCCUAUUUGUCCUUUGUUCGUUUGUGUGUGUGUGCUGGGUUUUUUUUAAAAAGGGAUAGAUAGUUACACUUGCAGAUUACAAAUUGUGUGUUAACCACU